AAGAGGCGUAUGAACAACGAGAGCUGCUACCUCAAGAAACCGAGACUAAACUUCCCGGGCCUCUU
rnacentral:tRNA from 1 species